rnacentral:misc_RNA from 1 species
GGAUCUUUCAUUCAGUACCUGCUCAGUUUCAAACAACCUUGCCUAUUGGAGAAUACGCGGCUGUUGCCCUCUUGUUCUUUUUUGGCCUCAAAUCAAUUAAAGAUGCAUGGGAACUUCCAAGCAAUGAUGUUGAGACUGGUGAAAAGAGUAGUCAGGAACUUGAUGAAUUUGCAGAAGCUGAGGAGCUUGUGAAGGAAAAGGCAUCAAAAC